GUCUAUGGCCACGCUACCCUGAAUAAGCCCAAUCCCAUCUGAUCUUGGAAGCUAAGCAGGGUAGGGCCUGGUUAGUAUUUGGAUGGGAGACCACCUAGGAAGACAAGGUGCUGUAGGCA
rfam:Pteropus alecto contig166625, whole genome shotgun sequence.